UACAGAGGGGGCAAGCGUUGUUCGGAAUUACUGGGCGUAAAGGGCGCGUAGGCGGCCUGCUAAGUCGAACGUGAAAUCCCUGGGCUCAACCCAGGAACUGCGUCCGAUACUGGUUGGCUUGAAUCCGGGAGAGGGAUGUGGAAUUCCAGGUGUAGCGGUGAAAUGCGUAGAGAUCGGGAGGAACACCAGAGGCGAAGGCGGCUCACUGGACAGGCACUGACACUAAACUACGAAAGCGUGGGGAGCAAACAGG
rnacentral:rRNA from 1 species